rnacentral:rRNA from 1 species
UACGUAGGUGGCGAGCGUUGUCCGGAUUUACUGGGCGUAAAGAGCGCGCAGGCGGCUGGUCAAGUCCGAUGUGAAAGCUCCCGGCUUAACUGGGAAAUUGCAUCGGAAACUGAUCGGCUGGAAGGUGGGAGAGGGUAGCGGAAUUCCCGGUGUAGUGGUGAAAUGCGUAGAUAUCGGGAGGAACACCAAUGGCGAAGGCAGCUCGCUGGGACGGUACUGACGCUGAGACGCGAAAGCGUGGGGAGCAAACAGG